AAACAGGGGAAAUGGUUCCUAGUAGUUUAAUAGAGUAUUGGCCUUAAUUGUAGCUCCUUGUAAAAGGCUUCUGAUCACUAAUUUGUGAUAAUUAAUGGUAAGACUGCUGUCAACCAUGUAAAAGAUUCUUUUGGUAAUUUUAAAAUUUUUUACUUGAGGGAACUAACAUAUACGAUGCCUCAUUUUGUGUGGCCUUGUUUGGAUCCAAAAUCUUCCUUGUCUCAAUUUUACGUUGCCUCAGUUUAAUGUUGUAAUUGGAAGUUGGAUCAAAUUUAAAUAGUGGAUCCAAAAGCAAUGUUGCCUCAAGUAUAUGAUGCCUCAGUUAAUCUUUUUUUAUACUGAUUUCAUCCCAUUGAUGCACAAUUAAGUGUUGCCUUGAUUCUGUGUCUCAUGGAUUGACUAUACUAAUGCUACGAUUCUAUAAGGUGCCUCUAUUUUGUGUUGCCUUAAAAAGUCCCCAUCCUUAAAAAGUGAAUCAUAUUUACAUCAUAAAUCCAAAUUUAUGUGUUGCCUAUGAAAAGGACUAUGUUUUCUUGUUGGUUGCUAGGAAAUUCAGUGGACUUUUUGGAGAGAAUGUAGUACCAAAAGAGCCUAGAGAAAUGUGGCGAGUUAUAUGAAAGUGAAUUUACUGUGCCUCGCAUAUAAUUUAUGCUUGAGCAAUUACCUACGGAAGACCAGAUCUGUAAUGAAAGUGAUUUUAUUACCUGGGGCUGGAUUAUUGCUGCAGCUGGAUCCUUUCUGCUAAGGGUGAUGAGCCUAAGUGCACAAGGAGUCACCUAGGAAGGUUGAAGCAUUGAAGCUAACCAAGUAAUCACCGAAAAGUAGGCUCAGGUGGUAGUAUGCUGAUUUUUACCAUCCUUGAACAUCCCAUUUGGUGAUCAACCACCUGUUCGAGAGUCUCUGGCACUUCAAGAACAAUUCACUGAGAAGUUCCAUCUGCCCGGGUCCCAUAAUGUUCUUCAUGGGGGUAAAUGGGUUUGGAAUACGAGUUUGUUGUUUUUAAUGGCCCAGAUUUUCUUGCUGGAGAACCAAAGUUGUGUAUCUGACACUUUUCCUGGUCCCUUUUCUGUGACUCCCACUUUUGCCUUCUACUUAGCCGAUAAAAGAGGACAAAGAGGUCAAGAGUUUUUUUAUACGUUAUGGCUUUUUUUUCAUUGCCUGUUGUGAACUUUUACGUAAAAAAAGUGAGUGAGUUCUACUUGAUUUGAUUUACUUCUCUGAACCCUACAAAACCCCUAAAUAACAGAUUGAUGUUACAUA